rnacentral:rRNA from 1 species
GGGCUUUACUGUCUCUUACUUCCAAUCCGUGAAAUUGACCUUCCCGUGAAGAGGCGGGAAUAUGACAAUAAGACGAGAAGACCCUAUGGAGCUUUAAUUAACCGACCCAAAGAGAUCUUGAUAAUCAACCGACAGGGAUAACAUACCUCUACCAUGGGCCGACAAUUUAGGUUGGGGUGACCUCGGAGAAUAAAACAACCUCCGAGUGAUUUAAAUCUAGACUAACUAGUCGAAAGUACUACAUCACUUAUUGAUCCAAAAACUUGAUCAACGGAACAAGUUACCCUAGGGAUAACAGCGCAAUCCUAUUUUAGAGUCCAUAUCGACAAUAGG